GAAAUGCGAUAAGUAGUGUGAAUUGCAGAAUUCAGUGAAUCAUCGAAUCUUUGAACGCACAUUGCGCCCCCUGGCAUUCCGGGGGGCAUACCUGUUCGAGCGUCAUCGCACCCCUCAAGCGCUGCUUGGUGUUGGGCGUCUUCUUGUCCCCCCCGCGGCGGGGGGACUCGCCCCAAAGACAUCGGCGGCUUGCACGGCGUCCGUAGCCCACAGCACACCGUGGCUGCCCGCAGACGCGCCCGCAAGCGUGCCGCAACCGACGCCCCCUUUUCGCGGCUCCUGGAUGGACCUCGGAUCAGGUAGGAAUACCCGCUGAACUUAA
rnacentral:misc_RNA from 1 species